rnacentral:lncRNA from 1 species
AGGUGAAUAGCAGCUUUAUUCACAAUAGCCAAUAGUCAGGGACAAUCCCGAUGUCCCUCAACGGCAGAACUAACAGACAGUGUUGUGUUCGUCCAACGGAAUCGUUAACGCGGCGAUUAGAAACACAGUCCAGCGCUCUGCGCACGCUGACGAGUCUCCCUGACGUGAUAAUGAGCAAAAGAAGCCAGACGCAAAGGCCACAGACUGGCUUCAUUCACAGGAAGUUCAGGCACAGGCAAGACCAUCCCAGGUGGUGGUCAGAUCGUGGUUCCCAGAGCAAGAGGUGGGAUGGCCAGGAGGGGCCUGCGGGAGCCCGGGGGAGCUGUGACCUUCUCUGUCCUGAUCCCGGUGGGGGUGCACGGGCGUGUAUAUGUGUGAAACUUAAUCUAACCACACACCUAAGAUUUGUGCAUCCUGCUUUGUGUGUUGUAUCUCGAUAAACAUUUUUAAAUGAGAGAAAAAGCACUUACGUCUCAAUUAAAGAGCAGAAGCCGGCCCAACAGCGUGUUAGCAGGGCUCUCUGUUUAUAUGUGGGUUAUGGGCGUAUUUUCCUCUUGCUUCUCUCUCUAUUUUCAAAUUUUCUCUAAAGUGAAGAUGCAUCACAUAGGAGAAAGUUUACAGAAGCAGCAAGUGUUUUUGUUUCAGGAGAGUAUUCAGCAGUCUCUGUCAUUGAGGUCUUCUGGAAAGGGUGACCCUUUGGGAAGGGUUUCUUCCUCGCUUCGCCCCCAGGCUAUUGUGGGACAUGCUUUCGUUGGGGACACAGAGCUGGAUGAGCCUUGGUCCCCACCUGCCAAGGAGCUCAUAGAGGGCUGGGUCUGCAAGGAGGCAGCUCGCAGACAGGCGAUGCCCUCUGCAGACGUCAGCGCUGCAGCAGGGCCACCGUGAGGGCAUCUGGAACACAGCUUUCCCCAAGUGCCACGGUCUUAGCCGGCCCCAGCAGCCAUCAUAAAACGCCACAGAUGGGGGUUUAAACAGCAGACAUUUAUUUCUCACAGUUCCGGAGGCUGGAAGUCCAACAUUGCGGUUCUGAUAGGGUUUGGUUUCCGGUGAGAGCUGUCUUCCCGGCUUGCAGACAGCUGGCCACCUUCUCUCUGUGUCCUCACAAACCUCCCUCCUCCCACAGGGGGGCACUUGGGGGGCCUCCCUCAUUUCCCUCCUACCUAAGGGGGGCCUCCAUCACCUCCCUCCUACCUAAGGGGGGCCUCCAUCACCUCCCUCCUCCCACAGAGGGGCCUCCAUCACCUCCCUCCUCCCACAGCAGGGCACUCAGAGGUCCUCCGUUGUCUCCCUCCUGGCUCUCUUUCUCUGCCUGAGGCAUGAGAGCCAACUCUGGGUGAGGCUCCAAGGUGCCCCAGAGGCCUGAGCCUAGGGGUGGUGAGCAGGGCUGCUCCUAUCCACUGAGGGGCCUGCCCUGGGGGAGGAGGUGUAGGUGGGGGCUUCAGAGUGGAGAGCUGGAGCUGGGCCUCCCCUUGCACCUGCCCACGCUGCUCCCCGGCGACUUGCUGAGCCCGGGCAUUAGAUUUUCAGUAGCAAGAGCAGGUCAGCAUUAGCCACUAUCGUGCAUGUUGGGGGUGGGGGCUGUGGUGGGGGAGGAAGGGGACCGAGAAAAGGGGAACAAAAUCAAGGAAGGAGAUGAAAGGAGAGAGAGAAGAGAGAGGAGAAAGAACACGAACCAUAGGCAGCACCUCUAGAUGCUUCUGUGACCCAGGCCGUCCAGGGAGCCCCCGCUGCCCCAAAGGGGAGGGGCUGCUGCUGUCGCUGUCCGGUUCUGCAGACGAGGAAACUGAGCAUAGACAGUCUCAGUCACUUGACUCAGGACUUAACAGCAGCAAGUAGCACAGCAGGGCUUGAAGCAGCCAGCGGCCAUGCCAGCGAGUGCCAUGAGGAGGAGGGAGACAGCAGGAUGGGGGGACCAGAGGGGCAGGCGUUUCCCGAAUGAAACCUGCCAGGCACUACGGGAGGCCCGUCGCCAGGGCCCAGGCUUGGUUUCACGCUGUGCUGUCGCCAUGUUGAAAUUCUUGAUAACAGUUUCGAGCAAGGGUCCCCACAUUUUAUUUCACAAACUAUGUCUCCAGCGCUGAGUGCAAUAAUGAAGUGCACACCCCAAGCCCCUCUCUUUCAGGGGAUCAUAGUCUAGAGGCCUUGUCAGAAGGAAGAGGGGAAGGGGCCUGAGCAAGCACAGGAAGUGAGCGUCUGCUGGAGACACAGGGCGGACUGGGGAAGGGCCCGGACUGUCCUUUAGAGCCAGAGAGGCAUAACUCAAUUCUUUUUACAAUUUCAUUACUGGGAAAAAUCUAUCAGCCCCAGGAGCAUUCUGCUCACAAAAUUGAGCUAAAAACAAAAGGGCAUUCACUGUGCCUUCCCCGAGCUCUGAGCUGAGCCGGAUUCCCAUAAAUCUUUGAUAAGUAGAGAAUGGUGAGCCUCGCUCAGCCUUGUCGUCGCAGCCUGCCCCGGGUCCUCCAGCUGGAGAUGGUGAAAGGGAGAGGGAAGCAGCACGGAGGAGGGCCGCAUGGCGCCAGCACAGUGCUGCCCUCACCUCCAUCACCCCCUUAGCCCUCCCCAGAAUGGCGUGAGGGAGGGAUAAGCACUCCCUCUUUAGAGAAACUGUGAGUAACUUGUCUGGUGUCAUGUGGCCAGUGAGGGGUUGGGUCAAGACCCAACCUAGGUUUGUCUGACUCCCAAACCCAUGCCCUGUGAACUCGCCACGUCCCCCCCACUCGGUAUAUUCAUGUGAAAACACAUUUAGCUAAAUUCACGCUAAAAUCCCUCAAAGGAGCCGUGGUACCUCUCAUCUUUGGGCCUUGGCCAAUGGGGGUGCCUCAGCCUGGAGAAGCAUCCCCCUGCACUCCCCACCAGGUUUUCUUCCCAAGUCUUUAGACAUCCCUGAAGCGGACCUUUCUCCUGAGCCCUCCCAGACCCCGGCCCCCGGGGCACAGGUGCCCCCACAGCCGGCUCCCUGUGCUCUCCUUUCCUCCUAACGCCACAAGACCGGGUUUCUGUCCAGACAGCGUCUGACACACAGCUGACACUCAAUAUUUCUUAUUGAAAAACUAUUUGAGGGAUGUUGGCCCUGGGGAAGUGUCCGUGACUGUUCCUUUCUCUGCCCAGCUGACAGGCUGACCUGCUCUGUCCCUCAUGAAAGGAGAAUGUCAUCCAGGGACGUCUCCAGUCCCUGGUCCUGACCCAACGCCCAGGACAGCUCCUCUGCGACUCCCCGAAUCAUAACUUCACUAAAGCCCUUUCAGCUUUGCAGGUCACCUUGAGAGCCUUGGCGCCCACUGGACGGCACACCCCGCCAGCGCCUGCCUCUUUCACGCUCAGGCCUCUGUUUAUGAGCAAGUGCAGGAAGGCCAGGAGAGGCCUUGGCUAGACUGGAGGCGAGACUCUGGAGGCCCGACGGCUGUCAGGAGACGGGACGGAGCAGACGGACCACGGCUUCUCGGUGCAGAGUUGCCCGCACGGCUGGCCCCUCUCCCGCUUCGGUGCCUCUUCCCCGUGACUGCGUGAAGGUCGUUACUGGGGGGCUGUUUUUCCCUUUCCCGAACUCUAUUCCAUAUUGUCUCAUUUAGUCCCUUCAACAGCCCCGGGGAGGGAUAGGACAAAGGUCACCUGGGAGGACGCUGGGUCAGGCUGCACAGAAGCAGCAGAGCGGGUAUGGGUUGAUGCCAGGCGGCCCCGCAGCAGACUCGCUGCCUGGGGUCUGCGCGGGCCCUGCCACCCAUCAAAAGAGUCUCCACCUGUGUCUGCUCAGGGUGGUGGGGCCUCUAGAUGACCUCUUUUCGCCUGAUGAGGCCUGGCCCCGGAUCUCCGAGCUGCCUGCAGCCCCGAGGUGCUGGCCCCUGCCUAGGGGACUCUUUAGCAGAGGCUGCCUUUCCUGGCCCCUCCUUUGCACUGGUUUUUUAGAACAACCCUCCUUCUGGCGUCUGACUUCUAAUCAGGCGUUCAUCUCCUGUGCUGUUAAGGGGCUGUGGCUGGGAGGGAGCAGUCUCUGCUCUCUCUGCUGCUCGGAGGCAGGUGGGAGCCUCAGGAUUUCUUCCAGGAGGAAGGCUGUUGGAGCGAAGGAGCAGGGAGGGGACAGAGAGAAACCCAGGCCUCACAUGACCCACCUGGCAGCCGGGGCCUGUGUCUGUCCCCAUUACAGGCCCAAAAUGACUGCAGCCACCAAGGGCAGCCGAGCCAAUGAGCGAGGCAGGCAUCUCCUUGGCAUCAACCUCUCUCUCUCCCUCACUCCCUCUCUCUCUCACACACACACUCACACUAGACAGGAAAACAAGACUGACUACACAGCCAAUCCAGCUCCCCCUUCCAGCAUCAGUGACUCAUCCUGAAACCCCCUGGUUCCAGCGCCCACAGUCUGGGCUGGGGGCCGCCUAGUUCCCCCACCUGUGGAGAUCCAAGCCAGCGAAGGGAUUAUUCAGCAAUCUGGCCCAGAGACCCCUUCUCAGGAGAGAGGAUAUUUGUUUCCAUGAUAAGCAAGCCAAUUCCCACAUCAUGAUAUAUUUAUGUUCUGUGUCUCCAGCCACCUGCUCAGACUCAAAAACAAAUUCCAGGUUCCAGCCAAGGAGGAAAUGUGACAGUUAAUUGGGGAAAUUGCAAAUAGGUCAUUCUAGAAGGUGGAAAGAGUGACAAGGGUUCCUGGCAGGCACAGGAGCUCACAGCUGGGGAGUCUGGGGGUUUCCUUAGAGCCGGGGAGCCUGCAGAGAAAGGCAGCUGGCAUCCCUUCCCUCCGGAAAGUUCGGCUAAGCCCGGGUCUCAGGGCGCUCCCCUGAGCUGGCCUUCGUGGCAGGAGCCAGGGUGGAGCUCCCUGUCAGAGUAGGGAAGAGCUGGACAGAGCCUCAGGGCAGGGCUGGGGCCGCUCCUCUGGUCUGGCUCGCUUGGGUACCAGAAUUUGAAUUACAGUUAGCAGGUGGGACCCCCUCAGUCUCUGUAAACUGGAUGUCAGCCAAGGCCUCCUGGGACUCAGGAGCUGGGACAAACUGCCUCCCGUCUCCCUACCUCCUCGUUCACAGCCUCUCCAGGACUCCUUCAGAUCCCCGGGGCUGCAUCCUCCCGGGCCUCAGCUUUUGGGCUCCUGCUUCCACCCUCAGAAAUCCAGGUGUGAAACUCAGCUGUCCUUCGAGCUCAGAAAGCUUGAACUUCAAGUUCAUUCACACAGAGCGUUCAGGAGCUGGUGGACGUCCAGGGGACUAUGAAAGGGAAGCUGGCACUGGGGCCGUGCCAGCCCACUUAAAAGCAGCAGCAGGCCCCGCCAGUGUCAGAAUGCCCUCUCCUGGGAGCACCCUGGCCUCCACCCACAGCCCAGAGCCCACAGCCGGGCCCACCCCCAUCACACUGGCCUUUUCAUCUUUUACUGUCUGUGCUGCAAAAACCAGAACUCAUCUCCUGCAGAGCAUUUCUCAGUCUUCUCUGCUGAGGUGGUCCAGGGACAUCCAGGCCUCCGCGUCAUGUAUGAGGGCACUUCCUGGAACAAAGACAGUCACCUUCUUAGGAACAGUUCUGGACCCAGUAGCUAAUCUAAUACAUCUUCCCUCUUUUUGGACGUCUAUAAUUAUACUCAAAAAGGGUGCUUCGGGGGCUGGCCCAGCGGUGCAGAGGUUAAGUUCGCACGUUCUGCUUUAGCGGCCUAGGGUCUGCUGGUUCGGAUCCUGGGUGUGGAUCUAUCCACUGCUUCUCAAGCCGUGCUGUGGCAGGCGUCCCACAUAUAAACUGGAGGAAGAUGGGAGUGGACGUGAGCUCAGGGCCAGUCUUCCUCAGCGAAAAGAGGAGGAUUGGCAGCAGAUGUUAGCUCAGGGCUAAUCUUCCUCAGAAAAAAAAAAAGUGUGCUUCAACUCGAGAAUUUAUAAAGAGAAGUGAGGCACUGGGGCCUGGAAGGCUGAGUGCUGACUAAUGAAUGAAG